UACGGAAGGCAGCAGUGGGGAAUAUUGGACAAUGGGCGAAAGCCUGAUCCAGCAAUGCCGCGUGAGUGAUGAAGGCCUUAGGGUUGUAAAGCUCUUUUACCCGGGAUGAUAAUGACAGUACCGGGAGAAUAAGCUCCGGCUAACUCCGUGCCAGCAGCCGCGGUAAUACGGAGGGAGCUAGCGUUGUUCGGAAUUACUGGGCGUAAAGCGCACGUAGGCGGCUUUGUAAGUUAGAGGUGAAAGCCCGGGGCUCACCCCGGAACUGCCUUUGAUACUGCAUGGCUUGAAUCCAGGAGAGGUGAGUGGAAUUCCGAGUGUAGAGGUGAAAUUCGUAGAUAUUCGGAAGACACCAGUGGCGAAGGCGGCUCACUGGACUGGUAUUGACGCUGAGGGUGCGAAAGCGUGGGGAGCGAAACAGGGAUUAGAUACC
rnacentral:rRNA from 1 species